GGAAGUUUGUGGGUGUACUUGUAAUAAUCUCCUUAUUGUCACUUUACAGGUUUUGGCGGUGUACGAUAUGUUCGAUCGAUCAAUGGCGCUUGGUCCUCUUGACAUGAUCACUGCCACUUGAUUUAGCACAUUAACCUUGCUCAUGUGGUACAACUUUGAGUGGGCUUUGAUGACAUGAUCACUGCCACUUGAUUUAGCACAUUAACCUUGCUCAUGUGGUACAACUUUGAGUGGGCUUUGAUCGUGUAAUACAAUUAUGCCCGUUGAAUGUUAUUCAGGCCUUUAUGUGAGAUUCUGAUGCUCCGGUGUUCUUAGGUUUGUAAAAGUUGGAAGUUUUGGUGGAGGCUAGACUGACUAUGGAAAACUUGACAUCGAAUUUUUUUCUUGCACACACAAAAAAUGUCAAAUUCUUGCACUGGAGACUUUACAGUGACAAUUAAGGACGGUUUUACUGACACAGUGAAAUUUGGGAUUACCAGAUGUCCAGUAGACUAAUUGUCGUUUACGG
rnacentral:lncRNA from 1 species